AAGACUAUACUUUCAGGGAUCAUUUCUAUAGUUUGUAACUUGACUUCCACUGUAAAAAUUCCCUUGUACGUUCCAGAUCCAUAUUUUCAACGGA
rnacentral:snoRNA from 1 species